rnacentral:rRNA from 1 species
AUGUUAGCGGCGGACGGGUGAGUAACACGUGGAUAACCUACCUAUAAGACUGGGAUAACUUCGGGAAACCGGAGCUAAUACCGGAUAAUAUUUUGAACCGCAUGGUUCAAAAGUGAAAGACGGUCUUGCUGUCACUUAUAGAUGGAUCCGCGCUGCAUUAGCUAGUUGGUAAGGUAACGGCUUACCAAGGCAACGAUGCAUAGCCGACCUGAGAGGGUGAUCGGCCACACUGGAACUGAGACACGGUCCAGACUCCUACGGGAGGCAGCAGUAGGGAAUCUUCCGCAAUGGGCGAAAGCCUGACGGAGCAACGCCGCGUGAGUGAUGAAGGUCUUCGGAUCGUAAAACUCUGUUAUUAGGGAAGAACAUAUGUGUAAGUAACUGUGCACAUCUUGACGGUACCUAAUCAGAAAGCCACGGCUAACUACGUGCCAGCAGCCGCGGUAAUACGUAGGUGGCAAGCGUUAUCCGGAAUUAUUGGGCGUAAAGCGCGCGUAGGCGGUUUUUUAAGUCUGAUGUGAAAGCCCACGGCUCAACCGUGGAGGGUCAUUGGAAACUGGAAAACUUGAGUGCAGAAGAGGAAAGUGGAAUUCCAUGUGUAGCGGUGAAAUGCGCAGAGAUAUGGAGGAACACCAGUGGCGAAGGCGACUUUCUGGUCUGUAACUGACGCUGAUGUGCGAAAGCGUGGGGAUCAAACAGGAUUAGAUACCCUGGUAGUCCACGCCGUAAACGAUGAGUGCUAAGUGUUAGGGGGUUUCCGCCCCUUAGUGCUGCAGCUAACGCAUUAAGCACUCCGCCUGGGGAGUACGACCGCAAGGUUGAAACUCAAAGGAAUUGACGGGGACCCGCACAAGCGGUGGAGCAUGUGGUUUAAUUCGAAGCAACGCGAAGAACCUUACCAAAUCUUGACAUCCUUUGACAACUCUAGAGAUAGAGCCUUCCCCUUCGGGGGACAAAGUGACAGGUGGUGCAUGGUUGUCGUCAGCUCGUGUCGUGAGAUGUUGGGUUAAGUCCCGCAACGAGCGCAACCCUUAAGCUUAGUUGCCAUCAUUAAGUUGGGCACUCUAAGUUGACUGCCGGUGACAAACCGGAGGAAGGU